rnacentral:rRNA from 1 species
CCUACGGGGGGCAGCAGUGAGGAAUAUUGGUCAAUGGGAGAGAUCCUGAACCAGCCAAGCCGCGUGAGGGAAGACGGCCCUAUGGGUUGUAAACCUCUUUUGUCGGAGAACAAAACCCGGGACGUGUCCCGGACUGCGUGUAUCCGAAGAAAAAGCAUCGGCUAACUCCGUGCCAGCAGCCGCGGUAAUACGGAGGAUGCGAGCGUUAUCCGGAUUUAUUGGGUUUAAGGGGUGCGUAGGCGGUCCGUUAAGUCAGCGGGAAAAUUGCGGGGCUCAACCCCGUCGAGCAGUUGAAACUGGCAGACUUGAGUUGGCGAGAAGUACGCGGAAUGCGCGGUGUAGCGGUGAAAUGCAUAGAGAUCGCGCAGAACGCCGAUUGCGAAGGCAGCGUACCGGCGCCAGACUGACGCUGAGGCACGAAAGCGUGGGGAUCGAACAGGAUUAGAUACCCUAGUAGUC